GACGAACGCUGGCGGCAUGCUUAACACAUGCAAGUCGAACGGAACGUCCCUGCCUUUGUGGGGUGCUCGAGUUGCGACCGGGUGAGUAACACGUGGGUUACCUGUCAUUGACUUUGGGAUGUCUUCAGGACACUUGGGCUAAUACCGGCUAGGAGCUCCUGCUGCUUGGUGGGGGCUGGAAAGUUUCGGCGGUUGGGGAUGGAUUCGCGCCUUAUCAGCUUGUUGGUGGGGUAGUGUCUUACCAAGGCUUGGACCGAUAGCUGGCCUGAGAGGGAGACCGGCCACAUAGGGACGGAGAUACGGCCCAGACUCCUACGGAAGGCAGGAGGGGGGAAUAUAUAACGAUGGGCGGACGCCUGAUGCAGCAACGCCGGGUGCGGGAGGACGGCAUGCGUGUUGGAAGCCGCUUUCGCCUGCGACGAAGCGUGAGUGAAGGAAAGGGAUAAUGAAGCACCGGCUAACUACUU
rnacentral:rRNA from 1 species